AGCCCAAAAGCUCUCCAAUACCACCAAUGUCAAGCCCAAAGACUUCCAAGCCAAAACUCCAUGGAUCCUUGGUUUCUUCUCCUUCUUAGCCUUUGAUUUUCAUGGGUUCUCGAAGUAAUCAGAGUGCGCAAUGGAGCGGAGUUCGAGGAAUCACGAACCUUGAUGCCUUGCAUGUCUUACCCGGAUUUCGUAAAAGAUCAUGUUUUCACUUUCGCAUGUAAACAAAAGGUCGUAUGUACAAAAAAAAAAUGGAGAUUUUCCUGAUUAUAUUUUACUCUGAUUUAGGAAUCUAGCCUAUUAAAUGGGGGUAUUUAAAUCAAGUUUAUUUUC